rnacentral:lncRNA from 1 species
AAACUGGGUGACAUCAAGACUCUGUCUCAAAAAAGGAAAUAUAAUGCAAGCCGCUUAUAUGAUUUGUGGUUUUCUAAUUAUAGCUGCAUUAAAAAAGAGCUCCCUCUUUGCCCACUAGCAGGGCAUUAGCUGGUGCUGAAGACAGUGGCUGCUUGGCGAGCCUGGAUCUCCAAGUGACCCCCUCAGCAACUCCUGAUGAACAGGACUGAAGCCAAUAUUAAAGCAAGUCAACCAAAGGUUCUCUGGUGUAGACAAGACAGCAAAAGGACAGACUACCUUGUGGAACCUAGCAUUGUUCUCCUUCUGCAGCACUAAGUAACAUUUGUUCUCCGUUAAGAUCUUUGCAAACCACACACAAGAAUUGCUGGUCAUCCUGCCAAUAGAUGCUGCUCACAGAACCAAAUUUCCUGUGCUGAAUUGUCACUCAUGGGCUUGAGAGUAGGAGACUGGAGACCAAGGUGGCUAGAAUCCAGUUGGGCCUGAUGUCUCCCUGUUGAAAGGGCUCCUUGUGGAAUGAAUAGCACAUGGCUCCUGUGGUGGAUCUGAUAGUGGCAUAGCACCAAGUGAUGCAGGCCUGCCAGGGGCCACAGACACAGAAGAUGCUCCCGGGGUCCCCCAUGUACUCCAGACACACUGCAGGCCACCUCUCCCAGCAGGUUGCCAGUCAUGGGCCCCAUCAUCAUGACUUCUGUCCAAGGUACUGUGUGCAGAAAUGUGAUUGAGAUUCAAGUCAGGGCCUCUCUGCCCUUUUCCCUCCAGAAACAAAACCAAGAUAAUUUAUCCUGAACACGGUGAAAAAAGGAAGGGAGGGAGGAGAAAAAGUCCGGGUCUCACCUGGGAUUCUCUGUCUCCUGCAACAUGAAGGAUUUAGCCUGGGAGGAGGUGGUGAGAACUCUGGGAGAGAAAAAAGAAGGAAAGAAUAGUUUUACCCAUGCUGAAGUUAAUUUAAACCUUCACCUAGAGAAGCAAAAAAAAAAAACCCACACUUUCCCAUUUUGUGCCUCCCUUCCUAGAGUUUUAGCCAAAGGUUUAGCUAAGUAAUUGGUUUUACCAGCGCACUCACUCCUCCUAUCCCAAGUCUGUUUGACUCCCUCCCCAUCAUCCUCCUCACCUCUUUUCAGGCAGGGUGGGGAUAGCAGCAGGAGGAGAUUUUGGGAGCCUGGCAACUCCUGCAAGGACCGCAGGACAGCCCCUCUGUGGGGAUGCGUGGUGCCCCAUCUGCCGCCCUUCUGAAGAAUGCACUGCCUUCACUUUUUACUGUGUUAGAGUCCAUCCAGACUGUUCUAUCCAAAAAAGUUUCUUUUUCCCCCACAGGCAAUCAGGAAAUGAUUCCUUUCCCGACUGCUUCUGUCUAGUGCCUGGGAAUCUUGAGUCAAUCCCUCAGUAAGUCAGUGACUAGGGAAAUCCCUCUCUGAGCCUCCCAGUUCAUGUUGCUUAGGGAACCUGAUAUUUUCGUGAAACCUGCCUACACAUGGGCAGCCCAACAGCAGAACAAAUGGUGGUGACCAAAGUGAACAAAGAAGUAUAGUUGUGCCAGCUUCGUAGUUGCCCAUGUGGACAAGUCAGCAGGAUCAGGACACGAGGAAGAGUAAAUGUGAGACAGUCAAUGUGACUUCUGCGAUAAACAGAUUUUUAAACCCCGAAAUUUUGCAAAAUUUUGGUGAAACCUGAACUUUCUUCGUUGCAUAUACUGGCACUAUCUGUACCAUCAUACAACUGUCUCACAUUAAAGCUAUUUUUCUUGGGCACUGAUGAGUAAGGUUGGUAUAAGUUCCUCAGAUCAACAAAAACCCAUUUUCCUGUAAGUCUUACAUUUAGUAUUUAAGGAACUAAAACUUAAAUACAUUUUGUGAAAUGGUUGACACUUCACUGAUAAUGAUUUAUUGCUUGGAUUAAUAAAUUUUCCAAAAGUUGUCUUAUGUAGAAUAUGGUUUGCAACCAGCAGAACCAUUAAUCUAUACUGCAAUGAUAUGCACUAUGUAUAAUUGUUUAAAAGCCUCUACUUAAUGAUGUAAAAUGCUCUAUUUAAUUACACAUUUGGGUAAACUGUAUACUAACAUCUGAUGGCAUUUUUCCACUGUUUGUUGCUUUUUUCAAAUACUUUAUUGUACAAAGCUGUUCUUAAUAUUUUUCAAGUUUUUUUCUUUGAAUUUUGCUAAUGUUUUCCUUGAAUUAUGAGCACUGACAGAAUGUGCUUAGCACUUUUGGCUAUUCACACAGCUUUUGAGCAUGAUUUGCAUCCAAUAUUUACAUUGCUAGCAAUAAUAAGCCAUCUGUGAGUUUUGUCAAAAGUUAUUGGGGAUUUUUUAAAUUUUAGAAAUGCAAAUUAUUGUUUCUUUGAACUAACUCUUAUGCAGUUGCAAAGGCAUUUCCAGUUGUUAUAGUUUGUGUACAAUAUCAGGUGUUCCAGAUUAUGAUUCAUUAUUAAUAUCAUUGCUUCCUUGUUCCCUCUGAGGUCCAGAAGAUUCAUGUUUACAAUAUUUAGAAACAAUGUUAAAAAGGUAUCCAAAGUUUGUCACUUUAUUAUUAGUUUGUUCUUAAUAUUCUGUUUAAGUUUUUGAAUUCAUAGAUAUCAAAACGCUGCACAAUUAUGAUUUCCACAGGAAUAACAACACACUAACAAUAAGAACCAAAAACAGCAAAUAGGCUGCCUACAAGUUUUGACAAUAUUAGGAUAAUGAUAAUGACAGUUUUUCUAAAUCUCACAGUAAAGAAUGCAGCAACCCAGCAACACUGCUACCUGUGGCCUCAGGCUGCAGUGUCAGCUCUUCCCUGGGUCUCCAGCCUGCCAGUCUAACCUGAAAAUUAUGUACUUGCCAGCCCCCACAGUCACGUGAGUGAACUGGCCCAGGCUGGUCACCAGGGUCAGUUUCUCUGUGUGUCAUUAAUUCAUUCAGUCUUCAGCAGUCUCUUUGGAGCUGAGAUGUACCUACCAUCUGCCUUUUGGGUGCUUAGGGUGGAGAACCAGAAAAGUAUAACCUAGUGUGUAUCCUCAAAGAGCUAACAAUAUGGGGUGGUACCUAUAGGUCUGGAAACACUUUACUGACUCUGUGAGGCAUACCAGGAGACGUCAGAGAACAGUCCCUCCUCAAAUGCCAAAUGAGAUGCAGAAGAAAUAGUUUGCUCAAGUUCAUGGGCCAGAUAUCCCAGUGGUCAGGGAGUUUCAUGAAUGAGAUGGAACUUUGCAUGGAACCCGAGGGAUGUGUAUGAUUUGAGUAGAUGAAGAAAAUGAGACUUUCCAAGCAGCUAGAAGUUAGGGAGCAGCAAGAUGUGUGGUGGGAUUGAGCACAGUUGGUUCAGAGGAUAGACUGCAGUUUUAAUAAUUUGUAGUAAAUAUCUCCCAACUGUUUGGCACUAUUGGAGCAAGUUCUUGAAUGCCAAAUGAAGGCAUAAAUCAGUAAGAGGCAUAAUAAAAGGCUGAGCAGUGCUUGGCUUUUUACGAACUGAUCCUGAUAGGAGCAGCUGUUCAACAAAGUUGCCAGGUCACCGUUACAUAGUCCCUGCCUUCUAGGGGCUCACUGCCUACUGGGAGAGACAGUCUGAAAGUUGGUGGAGCAUGUAACUGUUGGAUGAGGAGUUUGAGCCUGUGGACUGUGGGACCCCCGAGGAGGGUGUGGCUACUCUAGGCAGAACAAUCCCACAGUUUAUUUAUAUUUAACCUUGAAAUUCAUUAGAGGAUUUUUCAGCAGAGGUUUGGUACUUGUUAAUGUUAAGGUUUGCAUUCUCUAGAACCUCAAGGAAAGCUGUACCGUGCAUAAUGUACCCUCUUAUGUUAAUGUUGUGUACUGUGAUCCUGUUUCAGGGACUUGCACUUAGGAAUCUGUUACAGUGAGCACAGAAGCAGACCUGUGGGCUCAUAGUCUUCACCCCCCACCCAUAUAUACAAGAUGAACAGAGUGGAGGUUAAACAACUUGACUAAACAACACAGUUCAUGGUAAAGCCCAAGACUGUACCUGCCCAUCCACUGCCUUUUCCAUGUAUCCUGGAACUGAGCAUAGACCUCUUCCCAGGCAGAGCUGACAGCAAGUAAAGGAGAUCAUAAUCAGGGGACCAAACAACUUUGUCUAAAGUGUGAAUGUCACCUAAGGAGAAGCUGUGAGAUCAGAAGGGUGGGGCAGAGGAGCAGACACCAUGAGGGAGAGUCCUUGGGGGUACAUCUGCCAGACUGACACUGUCUGGCCUGGGCAGUGGAGGGGCUAGCAGGAACCACAGGUACUGGUGGUGUGGCUACUACCGUUACAACUGCCUGUGCUUGGACAUGGACCCUCUGCAAUAUGCGGCAGUUUCAUUCAUUGCCCCCUACAUUCUACACCAAGUAGAAAUGGAAGGCAAUUGGAUACUUCACAGACAAGAUCUAAGUGGAGAAGGAAUGCGUCCUGUGGCUGCAGAGAUCCUUGGAGCUUGGAGGGGAGAGCUUGAGCCCCACUGAUGAUGACCUCCCACAGCUCGCCAACUCAGCCCUCCCUAAGUCCCCAUCGGGGGCCAAUUCUCACUCUGGGGUUGGGGGGACUCCACCAUAGCUCAUCCAUCAUAGGGAUGUUGGUAUCUACUGUGGGUUGGGUAGGGCCGAUGUGCUGAGGAUGGCUCCCCCACAAGCAAGAGAUGUGGAUUUGGGGAGCUUCCCAUCUUGUGUUGAAGGAACAUAACUCAGAAUAAUAAGAGCCAACUAUAACAAACCCACAGCCAACAUCAUACUGAAUGGGCAAAAGCUGCAGGCAUUCCCCUUGAAAAGUGGCACAGGAUAAGGAAGCCCUUUCUCACCACUCCUAUUCAAUAUAGUGUUGAAAGUCCUGAUCACAGCAGUCAGGCAACAGAAAUAAUAAAGGGCAUCCAAAUAGGAAGAGAGGAAGUCAAACUAUCCUUGUUUGCAGACAGUAUGAUUCUAUAUCUAGAAAACCCCAUAGCCUCAGCCCAAAAGGUCCUUCAUCUGAUAAUUUCAGCAAAGUUUCAGGAGACAAAAUCAGUGUACAAAAAUCACUAACAUUCCUAUACACAGUCGCCAAGCCAAGAGCCAAAUCAGGAGCACAAUCCCAUUCAUAAUUGCCACAAAAAAGAAUAAAAUACCCAGGAAUGCAGCUAACCAAGGAAGUAAAGGAUCUCUACAAUGAGAAUCACAAACGCUGCUCAAAGAAAUCAGAGAUGACACAAACAAAUGGAAAAACUUUCCAUGCUCAUGGCUAGGAAGAAUCAAUAUCAUUAAAGUGGCCAUACUACCCAAAGCAAUUUAUAGAUUCAAUGCUAUUCCUAUCAAACUAUCAAUUACAUUUUUCACAGAACUAGAAAAAACUUAAAAUUCAUAUGGAACCAAAAAGCCUGAGUAGUCAAGGCAAUCCUAAACAAAAAGAACAAAGGUGGAGGCAUCACAUUACCUAACUUCAAACUACAGGGCUACCAUGACCAAAACAGCAUGGUACUGGUACAAAAGCAGACACACAGACCAGUGGGACAGAAUAGAGAGCCCAAAAAUAAGGCCACAAACCUACAGCCAUCUGAUCUUCAACAAAGUUGACAAAAACAAGCAAUGGGGAAAGGUCUCCCUAUUCAAUAAAUGGUGCUGGGAUAACUGGCUGGCCAUAUGCAGAAGAUCGUAACUGGACCCCUUUUACUAUGUACAAAAAUUAAGAUGGUUUAAAGAGUUAAAACCCAAAAUUAUAAAAAUCCUGAAGAUAACUUAGGCAAUACCAUUCUGGACAUAGGAACUGGCAAAUAUUUCAUGAUGAAGACACCAAAAGCAAUUGUAACAAAAGCAAAAAUGGACAAAUUGGAUUUAAGAGCUUUUUCAUAGCAAAAUAAACAACAGGGCAGACAAUCUACCAAAUGACAGAAAAUUUUUGCAAACUAUGCAUCUGACAAGGGGCUAAUAUCUAGCAUCUAUAAGGAAUUUAAACACAGUUACAGGAAAAAAAAAACCCACUCCAUUAAAAAAUGGGCAAAGGACAUGAACAGACACUUUUCAAAAAAGACAUACAUACAGCCAACUAGCGUGUUAAAGAAAACCUCAAUUAUCACUGAUCAUUAGAGAAAUGCAAAAUCAAAACCAUGAUGAGAUAUCAUCUGCCAGUCAGGAUGGCUACAAAAAAGUAAAAAAAUAAUAGAUGUUGGUGAGGUUAUGGAGAAAAGGAACUUAUACACUUGUUAGGAGUGUAAAUUAGUUCAAUCACUGUGGACAGCAGUGUGGUGAUUCCUCAGAGAGCUAAAAACAACUACCAUUUGACUCACCAAUCCCAUUACUGGAUAUUUACCUAAAGGAAUAUAAAUCAUUCCACCAUAAAGACACAUGCAAGUGUAUGUUCAUUGCAGCACUAUUAACAGUAACAAAGCUGGGCACAGUGGCUCACCUCACGACUGUAAUCCCAGCACUUUGGGAGGCUGAGGUAGGCGGAUCACCUGAGGUCGGCAGUUUGAGACCAGCCUGACCAACAUGGAGAGACCCCAUCUCUACUAAAAAUACAAAAUUAGCCAGGUGUGGUGGCUCAUGCCUGUAAUCCCA